UGACUGAGCUCUAAUGGGAUACUCUUAAUACUUCAGUAACUAACUGCUUGUCUUUUGAUUUCUCCUAAACAGGAAGUUCCUUGAGGACCUUGAGGACCUUGAACUUAUCUCUGUUAACAUCUUCUCCCUAACUUCGUAUUCCGCAACACAAGCACGUGGAAGAUAAACUAAGUCUCGUCUUCUGUGUUGGAAAAUUGUGUUCACUUUGCCGCCCGCUGGCUGUCGGGGGGUCCGCGAUGCACUUAGCCCACUGCAGUGAGCCAGAGGCUGGACCAGUGUGCACGAUGGAGAAAACCUUGUGCUGUCCACUCAACGUCAGCUCCAGCUCUGUCAGUUCUACCUCCUUAGAGUCUAAUCAGCUUCUUCCGGAUAGUUCUACCUUUAACGGACAAAUGAGAGGUAAAUUCCCACGUGUGGUGUAGCAGGACCAGAGAUCUACAAAAUAUUAAGUCUUUUGUGAGUAUAGUCGAACUUGGCACAGAUCUCUU
rnacentral:lncRNA from 1 species